rnacentral:rRNA from 1 species
GAUGAACGCUGGCGGCGUGCCUAAUACAUGCAAGUCGAGCGAACAGACGAGGAGCUUGCUCCUCUGACGUUAGCGGCGGACGGGUGAGUAACACGUGGAUAACCUACCUAUAAGACUGGGAUAACUCCGGGAAACCGGAGCUAAUACCGGAUAACAUGUUGAACCGCAUGGUUCAACAGUGAAAGACGGUCUUGCUGUCACUUAUAGAUGGAUCCGCGCCGCAUUAGCUAGUUGGUAAGGUAACGGCUUACCAAGGCAACGAUGCGUAGCCGACCUGAGAGGGUGAUCGGCCACACUGGAGCCGAGACACGGUCCAGACUCCUACGGGAGGCAGCAGUAGGGAAUCUUCCACAAUGGGCGAAAGCCUGACGGAGCAACGCCGCGUGAGUGAAGAAGGUCUUCGGAUCGUAAAACUCUGUUAUUAGGGAAGAACAAAUGUGUAAGUAACUAUGCACGUCUUGACGGUACCUAAUCAGAAAGCCACGGCUAACUACGUG